AUGUUAGAGCUGAAGCUCUGCAGUUCAGAUGUAACAUACCUGAAUAUGAUUGCAGUGAUGGAAACCCAAGGAUUUAGUGAAUAUGAUCUGCUGUUUCACAUUGAGAAUCUAGAUUUAGGGGAGAAAGGAUUGGAGAUGGUAGAGAGUAAUGCUGAGUUGCAACUAGUAAAGAGGCAGGUUGAGGAGUGUAAGGUUUUAAAUUUGCUAGUGAGGGCAUGUCCACCUCCUUGCAGCAAGUUUGAGAGGCAAGAAUUAUCCACUGUUGUGUAUGAAGAGCCUGUGUUAUAUGAUCUCAGUGAGCCACCCAUCUAUGCUGUUGAUGAAGAAGGAGUUGCCUUUGAAAGUCAGAGUAGCAGCUGCAGUUUAGCUCAUGGUACUGGUGUUUGCACACAAGAGAGCAAGAAUGUAAAAGGAAAACUGAAAGCUGUUUUGGAAAUAGAAGAAGAAGAGGGAUAUGAUGGCAGUGGUGGUUCUGAUUGUGAAGGUGAAGAUGACAGUGAUGUAAACCCUUUUUAUAUGGGUGAUGCUGAUGACAUAGAGAUGGAUGAGGGAAAGAAACAGAGAGAGUAUGAUGAAGUAGAAGAGGAACAAACAGAUGAUGAAGAAUCUGAGGAGGAAGAAAUGGUGCAUUACUCGGGUGACACAGAGGUUGAGGAACCUUUUGAAAUGGAUGAAGAUGACAAGGUUGUUUCACAGGAUGAAGAAACUGUAAUUGUACAUGAAGAGAAGAAGAAGAAGAAACAGAAGCUUCCAGUUAGGAAAGGGCCUACAACAAGGACACAUUCAAGUGUAGUUCAAGAGGAGGAACCUGAUUUCAAACCUUCAUCUGAUGAAGAAGAGAAAGGAUUGUUGAAGGAGGCUGAUGAUGAUGGUUAUGAGCCAUUGUCAUUUGUGCUGCCAAAGAAAAGGAAGAGCAGGGCAAAGCAGAGGCCUCCUAGAAAAUGGUACAAUGAGAAAAUGGAGGCACCACAUGAGCAAUUAUGUCUAAAGAUGUGUUUCAAGGAUCAACGUCAAUUCAGAGAGGCUUUGUUGAACUUACACAUCACUCAAGGCAGAAACUUCAAAUAUCAUAGGAACUCAGAUCAAAGAAUAAUUGUAGAAUGCAACCAAAAACAUUGCAACUUCUUUAUGGUGGCAGCAGUUAUAAAAGGUGAAACUACUUUUGUAAUUAAGAAGAUGAGAAUUAAGCACACUUGCCCUAUUAGUACAGAGACAACAAGGGUAAGUGCCAAGUGGCUUGCACAGAAGUAUGAGUCACUGUUCAGAUCUGAUCUAACAACUGGCAUUCAGACUUUGAUUGAUGCCUACAUGGAGAAGUAUGGUGUGGAUGUGCCCAAGUCAAUGGCAUAUAGGGCAAAGAACCUAGCUAUUGAUGAUGUGCUAGGAGACCACAAGAAGCAAUACCCUAGGUUGAAAGACUAUGCUCAGACAGUGAUGGAUACAAACCCUGGGAGUAGAGUAGUAGUCACUACUGUAACUCCAACACCCACUGAAAAAAUCCCCCAUCCAGGUCCAAGAUUCCAUGCUAUGUUCUAUUGCAUCAAUGGAGCAAGGGAGGGGUUUCUCAAGGGGUGCAGACCAUUCAUUGGUGUUGAUGGGUGCUUCAUUAAGUUAACUACUGGUGCUCAACUACUUGCUGCCACUGGUAGAGAUGGCAACAACAAUAUAUACCCACUAGCAUUUGGUAUUGUUGGGCAAGAGGACACACCUAACUGGUGUUGGUUUCUACACCAACUUAAAAUCUGCCUAGGAGGAGAAGUGGGAAGGUUUGGUCCAUAUACAAUAAUGUCAGAUAGACAAAAGGGCCUACUAAAUGCAGUGAAUGCUGUCUUUCCUAAGUGCAACCAAAGGUUCUGCCUUAGGCAUAUCUAUGCAAACUUCCAAAAUGCUGGGUUUAGGGGGGAAGAUCUGAAAAAGUGUAUGGAUAAUGCUGCCUAUGCAUAUAGUGAACACAAAUUUAACAUUGCAAUGAAUGACCUUAGAGCUGAGUGUGAGCAAGCUUGGGAGUGGCUUUGUCAAAUACCCAAGAAAACAUGA
rnacentral:rRNA from 1 species